UACGUAGGGGGCAAGCGUUGUCCAGAUUUAUUGGGCGUAAAGAGCGUGUAGGCGGCCAUACAGGUCCGUUGUGAAAACUGGAGGCUUAACCUCCAGACGUCGAUGGAAACCGUAUGGCUAGAGUCCGGAAGAGGAGAGUGGAAUUCCUGGUGUAGCGGUGAAAUGCGCAGAUAUCAGGAGGAACACCGGUGGCGAAGGCGGGUCUCUGGGCCGAUACUGACGCUGAGGAGCGAAAGCGUGGGGAGCGAACAGG
rnacentral:rRNA from 1 species